rnacentral:rRNA from 1 species
AGCGAACGCUGGCGGCAGGCCUAACACAUGCAAGUCGAACGGAUCCUUCGGGAUUAGUGGCGGACGGGUGAGUAACACGUGGGAACGUGCCUUUUGGUUCGGAACAACUCAGGGAAACUUGAGCUAAUACCGAAUGUGCCCUUCGGGGGAAAGAUUUAUCGCCAUUAGAGCGGCCCGCGUCUGAUUAGCUUGUUGGUGAGGUAAAGGCUCACCAAGGCUACGAUCAGUAGCUGGUCUGAGAGGAUGAUCAGCCACAUUGGGACUGAGACACGGCCCAAACUCCUACGGGAGGCAGCAGUGGGGAAUCUUGCGCAAUGGGCGAAAGCCUGACGCAGCCAUGCCGCGUGAAUGAUGAAGGUCUUAGGAUUGUAAAAUUCUUUCACCGGGGACGAUAAUGACGGUACCCGGAGAAGAAGCCCCGGCUAAACUUCGUGCCAGCAGCCGCGGUAAU